UACGUAGGGUGCAAGCGUUAAUCGGAAUUACUGGCGUAAAGCGUGCGCAGGCGGUUAUGUAAGACAGAUGUGAAAUCCCCGGGCUCAACCUGGGAACUGCAUUUGUGACUGCAUAGCUAGAGUACGGUAGAGGGGGAUGGAAUUCCGCGUGUAGCAGUGAAAUGCGUAGAUAUGCGGAGGAACACCGAUGGCGAAGGCAAUCCCCUGGACCUGUACUGACGCUCAUGCACGAAAAGCGUGGGGAGCAAACAGG
rnacentral:rRNA from 1 species